rnacentral:rRNA from 1 species
CACGUAGGGUGCGAGCGUUGUCCGGAAUUAUUGGGCGUAAAGAGCUCGUAGGCGGUGUGUCACGUCGGCCGUGAAAACCUGCAGCUUAACUGUGGGCGUGCGGUCGAUACGGGCAUCACUGGAGUUCGGCAGGGGAGACUGGAAUUCCUGGUGUAGCGGUGAAAUGCGCAGAUAUCAGGAGGAACACCGGUGGCGAAGGCGGGUCUCUGGGCCGAUACUGACGCUGGAGGAGCGAAAGCGUGGGGGAGCAAACAGG